CACCCCUGACAGUGGGCAGAGAGCCACCUUGUAGGCGAUGUUCUUCUGUCAGUCGGGGACAGAGCAGACGGCAGUCCUUUGCUCAUGCUAGCUUGAUGCCUGGCUUGGUGGCCAAAGCUGUCUCAUACCCAGGACUCAUAA